AAUGCGAAAGGGGACAAGGCA
rnacentral:sRNA from 1 species